rnacentral:rRNA from 1 species
UACGGAGGGUGCAAGCGUUGCUCGGAAUUAUUGGGCGUAAAGGGCAGGUAGGUGGUCUCGUUUGUCUGGGGUGAAAGCCUUGAGCUUAACUCAAGAAGUGCCCCAGAAACGGCGAGACUAGAGUACUGGAGAGGGUCGUGGAAUUCCCGGUGUAGCGGUGAAAUGCGUAGAGAUCGGGAGGAACACCAGCGGCGAAGGCGGCGACCUGGACAGUUACUGACACUCA